AUUGAACGCUGGCGGCAGGCCUAACACAUGCAAGUCGAGCGGCAGCGGGAAAGUAGCUUGCUACUUUUGCCGGCGAGCGGCGGACGGGUGAGUAAUGCCUGGGAAAUUGCCCAGUCGAGGGGGAUAACAGUUGGAAACGACUGCUAAUACCGCAUACGCCCUACGGGGGAAAGCAGGGGACCUUCGGGCCUUGCGCGAUUGGAUAUGCCCAGGUGGGAUUAGCUAGUUGGUGAGGUAAUGGCUCACCAAGGCGACGAUCCCUAGUUGGUCUGAGAGGAUGAUCAGCCACACUGGAACUGAGACACGGUCCAGACUCCUACGGGAGGCAGCAGUGGGGAAUAUUGCACAAUGGGGGAAACCCUGAUGCAGCCAUGCCGCGUGUGUGAAGAAGGCCUUCGGGUUGUAAAGCACUUUCAGCGAGGAGGAAAGGUUGAUGCCUAAUACGUAUCAACUGUGACGUUACUCGCAGAAGAAGCACCGGCUAACUCCGUGCCAGCAGCCGCAGUAAAAC
rnacentral:rRNA from 1 species